AAACUAAACACGUAGAAUUUGGCAGCCGCUCAAGAAGAACCAAAUCCACUUCAACCCCAGCAGCCGGAAAACAUCGCCGGAGGCGAAGGUACAGGCGGCAGACAAGGGGCUUAAAGUUCGGCGGAAGUGUCAUCGGAGUUGGUUUGGAGGCAAGAACUUUGGGAAGUAAAACUAGGAGUUGGUAUUUAUGCGAUAAGUGUGAUCUGAGGACUAAAGUCAUCAAAGAUUCAAAGGAUUACUGGAUUUAAGGAGAUCGAGGAAACGCAGUAGACGUUUAGCUUUGUUUGCACUGCUAUCGAGGUGAGUACAUAGAUGGUGGCCAGCUUCUCGAGGCGUGAGCGGUGUCCCCAUGGAUACAGUUGUGGUUUAUGGGUAGCAUAGGGUUUGAUUAUUAAAGACUUCCGCUUUGUUAAAUUUUAAAGACUUAUUAAUUAUCUCUCAAUGGAUUUCUAAAUGCAUUUUAUUCAUUUUUUUUGGGAUUAUAUUAAAUGAUUUUGGAGGAUUUACAUGGACAGUUUAUGGUUUG